rnacentral:rRNA from 1 species
AUUGAACGCUGGCGGCAGGCCUUACACAUGCAAGUCGAACGGCAGCACGAACUUGCUCGCUUCUUUGCUUACCGGUCGCGUGCGUGAUAGUACUGACCGGGCAAAUUACUGAUGGAGGGCGCUACCUACUCGGAAUGGUUGCCGAAUACGAAUUGAGUGGGAAGACCGAAGAGCGUGGCCUUUCGGGCUAUUGCAAUGGGCUGUGGCCAAAUGGGAUUAGCUAGUGGGUGGGGUAACGGCCUACCUAGGCGACGAUCCGUAGCUGGUCUGAGAGGAUGACCAGCCACACUGGAACUGAGACACGGUCCAGACUCCUACGGGAGGCAGCAGUGGGGAAUAUUGGACAAUGGGCGCAAGCCUGAUGCAGCAAUGCCGCGUGUAUGAUGAAGGCCUUCGGGUUGUAAAGUACUUUUGGCGGGGAGGAAAAGAAUUAUGCUAAUACCUCGGUUCAAUGACGGUACCCGCAGAAGAAGCACCGGCUAACUCCGUG